GUGCAGCAGGCGAGAAUUUUUCUCAAUGGGGGAAACCCUGAAGGAGCGACGCCGCGUGGAGGAUGAAGGUCUUCGGGUUGUAAACUCCUGUCAUUUGGGAACAAGGUGUGCGCGUUAACUGCGCGCGCAUUGAUAGUACCAGAAGAGGAAGAGACGGCUAACUCUGUGCCAGCAGCCGCGGUAAUACAGAGGUCUCAAGCGUUGUUCGGAUUCAUUGGGCGUAAAGGGUGCGUAGGCGGCGCGGUAAGUCGGGUGUGAAAUUUCGAGGCUUAACUUCGAAACUGCAUUCGAUACUGCCGUGCUUGAGGACUGGAGAGGAGACUGGAAUUUACGGUGUAGCGGUGAAAUGCGUAGAUAUCGUAAGGAAGACCAGUGGCGAAGGCGGGUCUCUGGACAGUUCCUGACGCUGAGGCACGAAGGCCAGGGGAGCAAACGGGAUUAGAUACCCCUGUAGU
rnacentral:rRNA from 1 species